GUGGAGCCUGCGGCUUAAUUUGACUCAACACGGGAAACCUCACCAGGCCCGGACACCAGAAGGAUUGACAGAUUAAGAGCUCUUUCUCGAUUUGGUGGGUGGUGGUGCAUGGCCGUUCUUAGUUGGUGGAGUGAUUUGUCUGGUUAAUUCCGGUAACGAACGAGACUCUGGCCUACUAAAUAGUGGACGGGCGUUUUGGUGCAUGGGCCCCGUUCGACACAGUCUUCUUAGAGGGAUGAGCAGCGAGUAUAGCUGCAGGAGAUUGAGCAAUAACAGGUCUGUGAUGCCCUUAGAUGUCCUGGGCCGCACGCGCGCUACACUGAAUGGGUUAGCGGGUUGUCCUUCUCCGAGAGGAGCGGGAAAUCGCGUGAAAACCAUUCGUGAUAGGGAUUGGGGCUUGCAAUUGUUUCCCAUGAACGAGGAAUUCCCAGUAAGCGCAAGUCAUCAGCUUGCGUUGAUUAAGUCCCUGCCCUUUGUACACACCGCCCGUCGCUACUACCGAUUGAAUGAUUUAGUGAGGCCUUCGGACUGGCGGUCCUGGACUGGGGCGGCGGGUUUCUCCCAGCGAUGGGGUUCCGCCGACUCGCCUGGACGGGCCGGAAAGAUGUCCAAACUUGAUCAUUUAGAGGAAGUAAAAGUCGUAACAAGGUUUCC
rnacentral:rRNA from 1 species